UACGGAGGGUGCAAGCGUUAUCCGGAUUCACUGGGUUUAAAGGGUGCGUAGGUGGGCAGGUAAGUCAGUGGUGAAAUCUCCGGGCUUAACUCGGAAACUGCCAUUGAUACUAUCUUCUUGAAUACCGUGGAGGUCAGCGGAAUAUGUCAUGUAGGCGGUGAAAUGCUUAGAUAUGACAUAGAACACCAAUUGGCGAAGGCAG
rnacentral:rRNA from 1 species